ensembl:miRNA Mir7069 microRNA 7069
AGUGUUUGGGGGCCUGGGAGGGUGACACUGAGGUCAUCAGCCUGCCCUGCCAACCCCUACAG